rnacentral:rRNA from 1 species
UACGAAGGGGGCUAGCGUUGUUCGGAAUUACUGGGCGUAAAGCGCACGUAGGCGGAUUUGUAAGUCAGGGGUGAAAUCCCGAGGCUCAACCUCGGAACUGCGUCUGAAACUACUCGGCUAGAGUACUGGAGAGGGUAACGGAAUUCACGGUGUAGCAGUGAAAUGCGUAGAUAUCGUGAGGAACACCAGAGGCGAAGGCGGUUACCUGGACAGUUACUGACGCUCAGGCACGAAAGCAUGGGGAGCAAAAGGG